UCAAGGACAUAAUUGAUGAAGCUCAAUCGGUACGUUUUUCCUGUUUAAUCACCAUUAUCGAUUGGCGUAGAUUGCAAUCCUUUAAAGGUUAUCCAUGACCUCAUUGUGACAACGGCUAAAAAUAGAUUGGGGUAUACUGACGUAUGCAUGGUAUAUAAAGGUAAACAUACGACAGCUGUCGACACAUUUAUUGACAGUCAAAAUGAACAAGCGGGAUAUUAUGUUCGACACAGAACAGAAAGAUUUCGAUUUGGAGAAAGUUUUGGAAUUAUUGAAGAAAUGCAAACUAGAUGAUGAUACUAUUUUAUUGGAAUAUUACAUAAAAGCUUACAGAGAACUAUGCAGAUUUUUUCGACUUCAAGGAAGAUUAUUCGGCUUUGUGGCAAAAGAUUUAGAAGAAAAGAUAGGUAUUCUCGAAACAUGGCGACGUUGUGAUACUUGUGACAAUUACAGAUCCGUUCAGUCAAUGAUCAACUACGAAGUCGAGUAUGGACUAACGACCUUCAGAGGUCGUGUGCCGUCAGGUUCAAGGACAUUACUUAGAUUACAAAGAGCGUUGGAAUUUAUAUUAAGAUUUAUAGACGAAAUGAGUAUGAGUGAGGACGAAGAUAAAAGUUCACAUAUUGCUCACACAGUAUACAAAAGAACACUAGCCAAUCAUCAUCCGUGGAUCGUUCAAAAAAUGGCGGGAUUUGUCACGUUCAUGUUGCCGAGCAGAAAAGAACUUAUAGAAACCAUGUGUAAACAAAACUAUGACCAAGUACUAAUAUUAAUGCACGAAGUGACUCAGGAAGGAAAUCCAAUAUAUGACAUUACACAAAGUUUAUAUAAAAAACACAAUUUAUUAAACCUGAAAUAAAUAUGCAUAUGUGUAAUUUC